CGGACGGGUGAGUAACACGUGGAUAACCUACCUAUAAGACUGGGAUAACUUCGGGAAACCGGAGCUAAUACCGGAUAAUAUAUUGAACCGCAUGGUUCAAUAGUGAAAGACGGUUUUGCUGUCACUUAUAGAUGGAUCCGCGCCGCAUUAGCUAGUUGGUAAGGUAACGGCUUACCAAGGCAACUAUGCGUAGCCGACCUGAGAGGGUGAUCGGCCACACUGGAACUGAGACACGGUCCAGACUCCUACGGGAGGCAGCAGCG
rnacentral:rRNA from 1 species